UACGGAGGGUGCAAGCGUUGUCCGGAUUUAUUGGGUUUAAAGGGUGCGUAGGCGGCCCAUUAAGUCAGCGGUGAAAGCCCGGGGCUCAACCCCGGAACCGCCGUUGAUACUGGUGGGCUUGAGUAUGGACGAGGUUGGCGGAAUUGAGGGUGUAGCGGUGAAAUGCUUAGAUACCAUCCAGAACACCGAUUGCGUAGGCAGCUUACUAGGCUGUAACUGACGCUGAGGCACGAAAGCGUGGGGAGCGAACAGG
rnacentral:rRNA from 1 species